rnacentral:ncRNA from 1 species
AGUAAUUCAAUAUUGGAAUUAGUAGGCGGUACAACUGCUAUAGAGAGCUUAUGGGUGGUGGAAAUAAGCCGGGAGUGCUACUGAACUCAUCCAAUUGAAGCUAGUCUGAAUCUUCAGUAAGACUAGACGUCCGCCGCGUUAAGGCUAGAGAUAAGCUAUUCUAGCUUAAAUUAGGUGGUACCGCGAAACUUUCGCCCUAUGU